rnacentral:rRNA from 1 species
AUUGAACGCUGGCGGCAGGCCUAACACAUGCAAGUCGAACGAGUGGCGGACGGGUGAGUAAUGUAUGGGGAUCUGCCCGAUAGAGGGGGAUAACUACUGGAAAAGGUGGCUAAUACCGCCUACUAUCGGUUGAACCCAUAUGGGAUUAGCUAGUAGGUGGGGUAAAGGCUCAACUAGGCGACGAUCCCUAGCUGGUCUGAGAGGAUGACCAGCCACACUGGAACUGAGACACGGCCCAGAAUCCUACGGGAGGCAGAAGUGGGGAAUAGUGCAAAAGGGGCGCAAGCCGGAUGCAGCCAUGCCGCGUGUAUGAAGAAGGCCUUGGGGUUGUAAAGUACUUUCAGCGGGGAGGCGUUACCCGCAGAAGAAGCACCGGCUAACUCCGUGCCAGCAGCCGCGGUAAUUC